GGCAGGACAGGGCCCCCGAUCCCUGCUCGUCUUUCAUUGGGUCUUGUUCUCACCGGGGCCCGCCCCCCUCUCCGUUAUUGGGCGGGAGCUUAUGAAAUAUCCCCGCCGCAGCCGGUCAUUGGGCAGUUUGUAAAACCAAAGGGAGGGAAAUCCUCGGUCGUCCGAGUCCUCCAGGUCUGCUCGACCCUCUUUUUCUCUAUGGGGCGUGUGCUGGAUCUGAGACGUUGGAGCUCUGGAGCAAUACCCUUAUUCCGCUGUUGCCUCAGGUCUUUACACGGGGAACAGGGCGGACCUAGUUCGAAAAGUGCAUAAACCUCGGACGGUGGCGCAGACUUGAGCUCAGCAACCGCUAGAGAAGGAAAGAUGCUGUGAUGAGAACCAGGCAAUGCCAGCCAAUUGGUCCGAUUUCACAGUCUGCGCACACCAGAAACUUGAUGUUGCCCACGUCCUUGGUGAAGCCCACGUUCUCAAAGAUGAACAUGUCAUCAACCAGCCAGUGCUCCUGGAGAAGCUCGCCAUCAGGAUUGCUGCCAUCAGCCAGUGCUGGUUUCUUUCUCAUGGAGGGAAGGAAAAGCUGCAGUGGAAAAGAACACAAAGAAUGCAAGAGCUGACUGGCCAGUCACGUCAUCACCCCCAUUCCACUCACACAUUACACUGCUCCCUAGCACUUUCUCGGAAUGAAAACAAAAUGAGGAGCCCGAUCAUUGAUGGAUGAGGAUGCUGGGCGGCUCCUCUGUUGCCUCUAGUCUGUGCCCUGAUUCUUACGAGAUGUUAAAGAGGAUUCAUGACCAAGCGUGGAGCCCAAUGUGAGGCUUGAACUCAUGACCCUGAAAUCAAGACCUCAGCUGAGAUACAGUUGGAUGCUUAACUGACUGAGCUGACCCAGGCCCUUCCCCCUGCACCAUUUUUUUUAAUUAAAAAAACAAAACAAAAACAAAAA